GGCUCAGGAUGAACGCUAGCGGCAGGCUUAACACAUGCAAGUCGAGGGGUAUAUUUCUUCGGAGAUAGAGACCGGCGCACGGGUGCGUAACGCGUAUGCAAUCUACCUUUUACAGGGGAAUAGCCCAGAGAAAUUUGGAUUAAUGCCCCAUAGUAUAUAAGAAUCGCAUGGUUUUUAUAUUAAAGUUCCAACGGUAAAAGAUGAGCAUGCGUCCCAUUAGUUAGUUGGUAAGGUAACGGCUUACCAAGACUAUGAUGGGUAGGGGUCCUGAGAGGGAGAUCCCCCACACUGGUACUGAGACACGGACCAGACUCCUACGGGAGGCAGCAGUGAGGAAUAUUGGACAAUGGGCGCAAGCCUGAUCCAGCCAUGCCGCGUGCAGGAAGAAGCAUCUAUGGUGUGUAAACUGCUUUUGUACGGGAAGAAACACUCCUACGUGUAGGAGCUUGACGGUACCGUAAGAAUAAGGAUCGGCUAACUCCGUGCCAGCAGCCGCGGUAAUACGGAGGAUCCAAGCGUUAUCCGGAAUCAUUGGGUUUAAAGGGUCCGUAGGCGGUUUAAUAAGUCAGUGGUGAAAUCUGGUCGCUCAACGAUCAAACGGCCAUUGAUACUGUUAGACUUGAAUUACUAGGAAGUAACUAGAAUAUGUAGUGUAGCGGUGAAAUGCUUAGAUAUUACAUGGAAUACCAAUUGCGAAGGCAGGUUACUACUAGUGGAUUGACGCUGAUGGACGAAAGCGUGGGGAGCGAACAGGAUUAGAUACCCUGGUAGUCCACGCCGUAAACGAUGGAUACUAGCUGUUGGGCGCAAGUUCAGUGGCUAAGCGAAAGUGAUAAGUAUCCCACCUGGGGAGUACGUUCGCAAGAAUGAAACUCAAAGGAAUUGACGGGGGCCCGCACAAGCGGUGGA
rnacentral:rRNA from 1 species